CUGGCGGUAGGCUUAACACAUGCAAGUCGUGCGAGAAAGUAUCUUCGGAUAUGAGUAGAGCGGCGGACGGGUGAGUAACGCGUAGGAAUCUACCUAGUAGAAGGGGAUAGCCCGGGGAAACUCGGAUUAAUACCGUAUACGUCCUUAGGGAGAAAGAGGGCCUCUCUUGAAGCUCUCGCUAUUAGAUGAGCCUGCGUAAGAUUAGCUUGUUGGUGAGGUAAUGGCUUACCAAGGCUACGAUCUUUAGCUGGUCUGAGAGGACGAUCAGCCACAUUGGGACUGAGACACGGCCCAGACUCCUACGGGAGGCAGCAGUGGGGAAUAUUGGACAAUGGGCGCAAGCCUGAUCCAGCCAUACCGCGUGUGUGAAGAAGGCCUUCGGGUUGUAAAGCACUUUAAGCAGGGAGAAAAAGCAAUAAGUUAAUACCUUAUUGCCGUGAUGUUACCUGCAGAAUAAGCACCGGCUAAUUCCGUGCCAGCAGCCGCGGUAAUACGGAAGGUGCAAGCGUUAAUCGGAAUUACUGGGCGUAAAGCGCGCGUAGGUGGUUUGUUAAGUUGGAUGUGAAAGCCCUGGGCUCAACCUAGGAACUGCAUCCAAAACUAACUCACUAGAGUACGAUAGAGGGAGGUAGAAUUCAUAGUGUAGCGGUGGAAUGCGUAGAUAUUAUGAAGAAUACCAGUGGCGAAGGCGGCCUCCUGGAUCUGUACUGACACUAAGGUGCGAAAGCGUGGGUAGCGAACAGGAUUAGAUACCCUGGUAGUCCACGCCGUAAACGAUGACAACUAGCUGUUGGGAGACAAUGUCUUUCAGUGGCGCAGCUAACGUUUUAAGUUGUCCGCC
rnacentral:rRNA from 1 species